UACGUAGGGUGCAAGCGUUGUCCGGAAUUAUUGGGCGUAAAGAGCUCGUAGGCGGUUUGUCGCGUCUGCUGUGAAAACUCGGGGCUUAACCCUGGGCCUGCAGUGGGUACGGGCAGACUAGAGUGCGGUAGGGGAGACUGGAAUUCCUGGCGUAGCGGUGAAAUGCGCAGAUAUCAGGAGGAACACCAGCGGCGAAGGCGGCGCUCUGGGCCGGUACUGACACUGAGGAGCGAAAGCGUGGGGAGCAAACAGG
rnacentral:rRNA from 1 species